ensembl:lncRNA
GUACUGUGCAUCGGGCACACGCUUUUCUGCGUGCAUGUGUGUGCACCAAUGGGCAUGCAUACAUAAUCUCAAGUUAUCCUCCCAGGAGAUGGUUCUGUUAUUAUCUUAUUUUUACAGUUGAGGAAGCUGAAGCCUGGAGAGGUGCUUCAAGAGACAAGUUGCUUUGCUGGUACGUGGUGGUGUAACCAGAAUUUUAAGGCCUGGCGUCUUUGUUUUCACACUCAAAAAUGUUUGCUUAGACUCCUUCUGGAUCGGAUACUCUGCAAACAGCAAUGUACUGGUUUGGGUCACUCAGUGCAGAAGACAAAGCAAGUCUUCAGCCAUCCUUUUCUGCAUAUAUGACAUUUACUUCUAAAGCCGGUGACCAAAGGUACCCAAGAAAUGAUGAGCUGAAUUGCCCAAGGAUGCAAUGACGGGUCAUCAGCUCGAGGGACCAUCCCGGGAACAACACCUGGACCCUGCUCUCCGAAGGAGGAAAGGUCAUGCAGUGAUGUCAUAACCUCAGCAGGAAACUUCCGCCACAGGACCUAAAGGGUUCAGAGAAGCCUCGCGCUGUUUUUUCCAGCCUCACCAUCAAAGGGGGAGAGGUGAGCGCAGGGUGACAGAGACUUUAGCCCUGUGCACACGCCGUGCUCCCACAGCGCUGAUGCUCGGAGCAGUAACAUCAGGAUCUCCGUGAUUCCUGGGCCAGUUGGGGGAUCAGAAGGAAAUCAGGCUUUUGGCCUUUCCACCCCUGGAGAAAAACCACAGUUUUGCUACUGCUCACCUUCUCUAGAUUGGACCUGGAGGUGGGGAGGGGAGAGAGGAGAGCGAUGUUGCCCUGCCCUCUGCUGGGGGAAGCACAGCAAAACCGCACUAAAUUCAGGGGCCGACGAGCUUGGGUUUCAGGUUAUCUGAGCGGAAACCCUCCUUCGUCCACUUUCUGAGACUGCAUCCUGGAUGGCAGAGCAGAGGCCACCGUGGACUCUUAGCGCUGAACUUGGGGAAACCAGGGCCCAGGACUCUGGACUCAGAAUGGCCCUCCCCAGGAUGCAUGCUGUAAAACGUUUUCUUUUCUGAUGAAUCCUCGCUAAGAAAACAUACUUGACACGUUCCCCUUUCACCUAAGACUCAGACGUGGGCGUUUGCCUCGUCUGAGUUCAGUGAAGUGUCUUCUGUUUACUGAAUUUCUCCUCUUCCUGUGGUUUGGCUGGGCAGUGCCAUUUUGCAUUAACUUGUUGUCUGGGAUUUGUACCCUCCCACCUGCCCACUGGGUGUCAAGAGUCAACAGAAGCCCUCUGUGUCCUGAGACGGGCGCAGGCCCCUUUGGUCACCAGAAUGUCCCACAGCAGCCUUCAGAGGACUGGGAUGAAAGGGCUUCAGGCAGGACUGACCCAUGGGCAGAGCUGCCAAUCAGACCUAUGGCUGCUUUCUCUUUUGUUGUUUUGAUGAUAAUUUUUGUUAAUUUUCAGUUACGCAGAUGAUACAGUCAUACAUUCAUCCUUAAAAACCACAACACAGAACAUUAGCAACAAAAGACCCACACCCCAAAUCAUUUUGCUUCUUUUUUUUAAAAAAAAGUUGCAUAAUAUUUCAUCUUUGCCAGUGAGAUUUAAGGCUUACUGGCUUCGCUUGGUUUGUCUCUCUCCUCCCUGUCCCUAUCAAGGAUGCGGGCAGGCGCGGGUGGGUGACAGGAAGCGGGAUACAUCAUUUCCACCGGAGAAAGGGCAGGAAACAGAAGAUGCCUGAGCUGAGUCUUCCUGAAGACUUGUCUUCCCCACCCCAAGGAGCCAUGGAACCACUCUCAUGGAUGUAGGGAGAGUCUGGUCCUCCUAGCAGGGCUCUUCCGCUCCUGCCACGGUGAUGCUCCCUCGGGGAGGGCCACUGCCCUUCUCUUUGCUUGGUCUGAGAUGAUUUGAGGAAAGGAGGAUCACCAUGUGAGCAAUGGACCUGGCCAUGCC